rnacentral:piRNA from 1 species
GGGGAANUCAGUGUACCCUUUACUCUUGC